AGAGUUUGAUCAUGGCUCAGAUUGAACGCUGGCGGUAUGCUUAACACAUGCAAGUCGAACGGAAACGAUGUUAGCUUGCUAACAGGCGUCGAGUGGCGGACGGGUGAGUAACGCGUAGGAAUCUACCAAGUAGUGGGGGAUAGCCCGGAGAAAUCCGGAUUAAUACCGCAUAAUCUCUACGGAGUAAAGAGGGCCUCUAUUUAUAAGCUUUCGCUAUUUGAUGAGCCUGCGUAAGAUUAGCUUGUUGGUGAGGUAAAAGCUCACCAAGGCAACGAUCUUUAGCUGGUCUGAGAGGAUGAUCAGCCACACUGGGACUGAGACACGGCCCAGACUCCUACGGGAGGCAGCAGUGGGGAAUAUUGGACAAUGGGCGCAAGCCUGAUCCAGCAAUACCGCGUGUGUGAAGAAGGCCUGAGGGUUGUAAAGCACUUUCAAUUGUGAAGAAAAGCUAAAGAUUAAUACU
rnacentral:rRNA from 1 species